rnacentral:ncRNA from 12 species
GGGUUCGGAACUGCGGGUGCAUUUCCGGAGGAUUUUUAGAUGGUCGGGCCGCCAUCU